UGCAGUCGAGCGAACAGAUGAAGUGCUUGCACUUCUGACGUUAGCGGCGAACGGGUGAGUAACACGUAAGGAAUCUACCUAUAAGCGGGGGAUAACAUUCGGAAACGGGUGCUAAUACCGCAUAAUAUCUUCUUCCGCAUGGAAGAAGAUUGAAAGACGGCUCUGCUGUCACUUAUAGAUGACCUUGCGGUGCAUUAGUUAGUUGGUGGGGUAACGGCCUACCAAGACGAUGAUGCAUAGCCGACCUGAGAGGGUGAUCGGCCACAUUGGGACUGAGACACGGCCCAAACUCCUACGGGAGGCAGCAGUAGGGAAUCUUCCGCAAUGGGCGAAAGCCUGACGGAGCAAUGCCGCGUGAGUGAAGAAGGCCUUCGGGUCGUAAAACUCUGUUAUAAGAGAAGAACAAAUUGUAGAGUAACUGCUACAGUCUUGACGGUAUCUUAUCAGAAAGCCACGGCUAACUACGUGCCAGCAGCCGCGGUAAUACGUAGGUGGCAAGCGUUGUCCGGAUUUAUUGGGCGUAAAGGGAGCGCAGGUGGUUUCUUAAGUCUGAUGUGAAAGCCCACGGCUUAACCGUGGAGGGUCAUUGGAAACUGGGAAACUUGAGUACAGAAGAGGAAUGUGGAACUCCAUGUGUAGCGGUGGAAUGCGUAGAUAUAUGGAAGAACACCAGUGGCGAAGGCGACAUUCUGGUCUGUUACUGACACUGAGGCUCGAAAGCGUGGGGAGCAAACAGGAUUAGAUACCCUGGUAGUCCACGCCGUAAACGAUGAGUGCUAGGUGUUGGAAGGUUUCCGCCCUUCAGUGCCGCAGUUAACGCAUUAAGCACUCCGCCUGGGGAGUACGACCGCAAGGUUGAAACUCAAAGGAAUUGACGGGGACCCGCACAAGCGGUGGAGCAUGUGGUUUAAUUCGAAGCACGCGGAGAACCUUACCAAGUCUUGACAUCCUUUUGACCACCCUAAAAAUAAGGGCUUUCCCUCCGGGGACAAAAUGACAGGGGG
rnacentral:rRNA from 1 species